rnacentral:rRNA from 1 species
AUUGAACGCUGGCGGCAGGCCUAACACGUGCAAGUCGAACGGUAACAGGAAACAGCUUGCUGUUUCGCUGACGAGUGGCGGACGGGUGAGUAAUGUCUGGGAAACUGCCUGAUGGAGGGGGAUAACUACUGGAAACGGUAGCUAAUACCGCAUAACGUCGCAAGACCAAAGAGGGGGACCCUCCGGCCUCUUGCCAUCGGAUGUGCCCAGAUGGGAUUAGCUUGUUGGUGGGGUAACGGCUCACCAAGGCGACGAUCCCUAGCUGGUCUGAGAGGAUGACCAGCCACACUGGAACUGAGACACGGUCCAGACUCCUACGGGAGGCAGCAGUGGGGAAUAUUGCACAAUGGGCGCAAGCCUGAUGCAGCCAUGCCGCGUGUAUGAAGAAGGCCUUCGGGUUGUAAAGUACUUUCAGCGGGGAGGAAGGGAGUAAAGUUAAUACCUUUGCUCAUUGACGUUACCCGCAGAAGAAGCACCGGCUAACUCCGUG